AACGGUGAAGCCCUUCGGGGUGGAUCAGUGGCGAACGGGUGAGUAACACGUGAGCAACCUGCCCUCCACUUCGGGAUAAGCCUUGGAAACGGGGUCUAAUACCGGAUAUGAGUGCCUGCCGCAUGGUGGGUGUUGGAAAGUUUUUCGGUGGGGGAUGGGCUCGCGGCCUAUCAGCUUGUUGGUGGGGUAAUGGCCUACCAAGGCGUCGACGGGUAGCCGGCCUGAGAGGGCGACCGGCCACACUGGGACUGAGACACGGCCCAGACUCCUACGGGAGGCAGCAGUGGGGAAUAUUGCACAAUGGGCGAAAGCCUGAUGCAGCGACGCCGCGUGAGGGAUGACGGCCUUCGGGUUGUAAACCUCUUUCAGCAGGGAAGAAGCGCAAGUGACGGUACCUGCAGAAGAAGCGCCGGCUAACUACGUGCCAGCAGCCGCGGUAAUACGUAGGGCGCAAGCGUUGUCCGGAAUUAUUGGGCGUAAAGAGCUUGUAGGCGGUCUGUCGCGUCUGGUGUGAAAUCCCGAGGCUCAACCUCGGGCUUGCAUCGGGUACGGGCGGACUAGAGUGCUGUAGGGGAGACUGGAAUUCCUGGUGUAGCGGUGGAAUGCGCAGAUAUCAGGAGGAACACCGAUGGCGAAGGCAGGUCUCUGGGCAGUUACUGACGCUGAGGAGCGAAAGCAUGGGGAGCGAACAGGAUUAGAUACCCUGGUAGUCCAUGCCGUAAACGUUGGGCACUAGUGUGGGGACCAUU
rnacentral:rRNA from 1 species